rnacentral:tRNA from 1 species
AGGGGUUUCGCAUAGCGGCGAUUGCAGCGGUCUCCAAAACCGCCGGUUAACAGCCCACGUAGGUUCGAGUCCUACAGCCCCUG